GAACGCUGGCGGCGUGCUUAACACAUGCAAGUCGAGCGGAAAGGCCCUUCGGGGUACUCGAGCGGCGAACGGGUGAGUAACACGUGAGUAACCUGCCCCUAGCUCUGGGAUAAGCCCGGGAAACUGGGUCUAAUACCGGAUAUGACCAUUACCCGCAUGGGUCGAUGGUGGAAAGUUUUUCGGCUGGGGAUGGACUCGCGGCCUAUCAGCUUGUUGGUGGGGUGAUGGCCUACCAAGGCGACGACGGGUAGCCGGCCUGAGAGGGCGACCGGCCACACUGGGACUGAGACACGGCCCAGACUCCUACGGGAGGCAGCAGUGGGGAAUAUUGCGCAAUGGGCGGAAGCCUGACGCAGCGACGCCGCGUGGGGGAUGAAGGCCUUCGGGUUGUAAACCUCUUUCACCACCGACGAAGCGAAAGUGACGGUAGGUGGGGAAGAAGCGCCGGCUAACUACGUGCCAGCAGCCGCGGUAAUACGUAGGGCGCAAGCGUUGUCCGGAAUUAUUGGGCGUAAAGAGCUCGUAGGCGG
rnacentral:rRNA from 1 species